GGAUGUGAGGGCGAUCCGGCUGCGACAUCUGUCACCCCAUUGAUCGCCAGGGUUGAUUAGGCUGAUCUGGCUGGCUAGGCGGGUGUCCCCUUCCUCCCUCACUGCUCCAUGUGCGUCCCUCCCGAAGCUGCGCGCUCAGUCAAAGAGGACGACCUUCCCCGAAUAGAGGAGGACUGGUCUUCGGUCAAGGGUAUACGAGUAGCUGCGCUCCCCUGCUAGAACCUCCAAACAAGCUCUCAAGAAACAAUCAGUAGAAAUGUUUUUUGAAACAAUGACACACAUACAGAAUGGAGUACUAU
rnacentral:snRNA from 1 species